UGGCUCAGGAUGAACGCUAGCGACAGGCCUAACACAUGCAAGUCGAGGGGCAUCGGGGCGAGGAGCAAUCCUUGCCGCCGGCGACCGGCGCACGGGUGAGUAACGCGUAUGCGACCUGCCCGUUGCAGGGGGAUAAUCGGGAGAAAUCCCGUCUAAUACCGCGUAAUGCCGCGGGGCUGCAUGGCCCUGCGGCCAAAGGGAGCGAUUCCGGCAACGGAUGGGCAUGCGUGACAUUAGCUAGUUGGCGGGGCAACGGCCCACCAAGGCGACGAUGUCUAGGGGUUCUGAGAGGAAGGUCCCCCACACUGGUACUGAGACACGGACCAGACUCCUACGGGAGGCAGCAGUGAGGAAUAUUGGUCAAUGGGCGCGAGCCUGAACCAGCCAAGUCGCGUGAGGGAUGACGGCCCUACGGGUUGUAAACCUCUUUUGUCGGGGAGCAAAUUCCGCCACGUGUGGCGGAGUCGAGAGUACCCGAAGAAAAAGCAUCGGCUAACUCCGUGCCAGCAGCCGCGGUAAUACGGAGGAUGCGAGCGUUAUCCGGAUUUAUUGGGUUUAAAGGGUGCGUAGGCGGACUGUCAAGUCAGCGGUAAAAUACGGAGGCUCAACCUCCGCCCGCCGUUGAAACUGACGGUCUUGAGUGGGCGAGAAGUAUGCGGAAUGCGUGGUGUAGCGGUGAAAUGCAUAGAUAUCACGCAGAACUCCGAUUGCGAAGGCAGCAUACCGGCGCCCGACUGACGCUGAAGCACGAAAGCGUGGGUAUCGAACAGGAUUAGAUACCCUGGUAGUCCACGCAGUAAACGAUGAAUACUAGCUGUCCGGGGCGAAUGAGCCCUGGGUGGCACAGCGAAAGCGUUAAGUAUUCCACCUGGGGAGUACGCCGGCAACGGUGAAACUCAAAGGAAUUGACGGGGGCCCGCACAAGCGGAGGAACAUGUGGUNUAAUUCGAUGAUACGCGAGGAACCUUACCCGGGCUCAAACGACACAGGAACGUACCUGAAAGGGUUCGGCUCUACGGAGCCUGUGUCGAGGUGCUGCAUGGUUGUCGUCAGCUCGUGCCGUGAGGUGUCGGCUUAAGUGCCAUAACGAGCGCAACCCCCAUCGACAGUUGCUAACAGGUCAGGCUGAGGACUCUGUCGAGACUGCCGGCGCAAGCUGCGAGGAAGGCGGGGAUGACGUCAAAUCAGCACGGCCCUUACGUCCGGGGCGACACACGUGUUACAAUGGCAGGUACAGCGGGAAGCCACCUGGCGACAGGGAGCGGAACCCGAAAGCCUGUCUCAGUUCGGAUUGGAGUCUGCAACCCGACUCCAUGAAGCUGGAUUCGCUAGUAAUCGCGCAUCAGCCACGGCGCGGUGAAUACGUUCCCGGGCCUUGUACACACCGCCCGUCAAGCCAUGGAAGCCGGGGGUGCCUGAAGUGCGCUGCCGCGAGGAGCGCCCUAGGGUAAAACCGGUGACUGGGGCUAAGUCGUAACAAGGUAACCGU
rnacentral:rRNA from 1 species